GCCUGGGUGGCUCAGUCGGUUGAGCGUCCGACUUUGGCUCAGGUCACGAUCUCGCGGUCCGUGAGUUCGAGCCCCGCAUCGGGCU
rnacentral:tRNA from 1 species